GCCUCCCGGGCCGCGCCCCAGCCCGCGACCCCGGCCACCCGCCAGCCGCCGCCGCCGCCGCCGCCGCUUCCGUCCAGUCCUGCCUUCUGCGCCCACCGCUAGGGCCGCCGCGCCUUAGCGCGAGGGGCGGCCCGGGCGCUUUGUGGACGCGCUCGGCGCUUUCUCUGCUCUCGGCGCUCACCUAGGACUGUCACCGGCCCCUGCGGGGCCCGCGGGAGCGCUCCCGAAAGACCCCUCGGGAGGUGGUGACGGUGACGGGAUCCCGGCCCCCACCGGCCCCGAGAACUACGCCUUCCCCGCUCCUCGCUCAGCGCGAAAGCCUGCGGGAAGCUCCAAUCGGAGGCAACUGAAACUGAAGUUUUGACCAGAUCCAUGAAUUCCAACAACAACAACAAAAAGGAACAAAUGGGCCUAGUCAAUGGAAUAUUAUUGUCUAAAGCCAACAUUUUUUAAAAGUUUGUAUUUUGAGAGCAUGCUUUUUAUAUAUUAAAAUUUGAAAUUU